ACGCUGGCGGCACGCCUAAUACAUGCAAGUCGAACGAAGUAGCAAUACUUAGUGGCAGACGGGUGAGUAACAUGUAGGUAUCUACCCUUUGGCCUGGAAUAACACGAGGAAACUUGUGCUAAUACCGGAUAAGUCUUUACGGAGAAAGCUUUAUGCACCAUUGGAUGAGCCUGCACUUGAUUAGUUUGUUGGUGGGGUAAUGGCCUACCAAGACUGUGAUCAAUAGCUGAUUUGAGAGGAUGAUCAGCCACAUUGGGACUGAGACACGGCCCAAACUCCUACGGGAGGCAGCAGUAGGGAAUCUUGCACAAUGGAGGAAACUCUGAUGCAGCGAUGCCGCGUGAGUGAAGAAGGCCUUUGGGUUGUAAAGCUCUUUCGUCGGGGAAGAAAAUGACUGUACCCGAAUAAGAAGGUCCGGCUAACUUCGUGCCAGCAGCCGCGGUAAUACGAAGGGACCUAGCGUAGUUCGGAAUUACUGGGCUUAAAGAGUUCGUAGGUGGUUGAAAAAGUUAGUGGUGAAAUCCCAGAGCUUAACUCUGGAACUGCCAUUAAAACUUUUCAGCUAGAGUAUGAUAGAGGAAAGCAGAAUUUCUAGUGUAGAGGUGAAAUUCGUAGAUAUUAGAAAGAAUACCAAUUGCGAAGGCAGCUUUCUGGAUCAUUACUGACACUGAGGAACGAAAGCAUGGGUAGCGAAGAGGAUUAGAUACCCUCGUAGUCCAUGCCGUAAACGAUGUGUGUUAGACGUUGGAAAUUUAUUUUCAGUGUCGCAGGGAAACCGAUAAACACACCGCCUGGGGAGUACGACCGCAAGGUUAAAACUCAAAUGAAUUGACGGGGACCCGCACAAGUAGUGGAGCAUGUGGUUUAAUUCGAAGAUACGCGCAGAACCUUACCAACACUUGACAUGUUCGUCGCGACUCUAAGAGAUUAGAGUUUUCGGUUCGGCCGGACGAAACACAGGUGCUGCAUGGCUGUCGUCAGCUCGUGUCGUGAGAUGUUGGGUUAAGUCCCGCAACGAGCGCAACCCUCACUUUUAGUUGCCAUCAUUAAGUUGGGCACUCUGAAAGAACUGCCAGUGAUAAGCUGGAGGAAGGUGGGGAUGACGUCAAGUCCUCAUGGCCCUUACGUGUUGGGCUACACACGUGCUACAAUGGUAUCUACAACAGGAAGCAAGACUGCGAAGUUAAGCAAAUCCCUAAAAGAUACCUCAGUUCGGAUUGCACUCUGCAACUCGAGUGCAUGAAGCUGGAAUUACUAGUAAUCGUGGAUCAGCGUGCCACAGUGAAUGCGUUCCCGGGUCUUGUACUCACCGC
rnacentral:rRNA from 1 species